CAACACUUUCGUUUAUUUGUUUACCGUCUUUUGAGUUUUAUGCUUUACGUAUGCCGUGUAUUAUUAUUAUUUUUUUUCUAUUUGUAGUAUAUUAGAUCACUUCAGAAGUUAAGAUGACAGAAGAAUUUAGAGAAAAUGAGGAAGAUAUUUAUUCCAAAAUACUUUCAAUAAUUAUAUGGAUAAGAAGUUCUCACUUUUAUCAGGAUUAUAUUAAACAAUAUCCAUUAUUAUCUCUUGCAUUUAUUAUGAUUUUCCUUUUAUCCUUUAUUCCAAUUUUGACAUUUACUUGUUUUGUUUUGGUAACUUCUGUUUUUACAAUUGUAGGAUUUUUAUUUAUCGAAGGUACAUUACUUACAGUAGCCAUUGUCUUACUAAGUGGAAUAUUAUUUUCAAUCGGAAUACUGACUGCUGCAUUUACGAUGUGUAUGGGUGCAACUUGGUUUUUUGUUUAUAAAAUUCGCACUUUUAUUAAUUACGGACAAUUUGUUUUGUUUUCUAACCAUUGUGAAAAAGUAUCAAAUAAUAAAGAAUUUUUAAAAUCAGAUUCAAAUGAAAUAA